GACUCCAUCUCAACAGCAAGUAAAUAAAUUCAUAUUAUUUUCAAUGCACAUAUUUAUUAAGUUCCUGCUCUCUGCAGGCCACUGUGUCUUUGACCAAGGAUUCAGGUAGGGACACGGCAGUGAACAAUACAAAUUUGCUCUUGCCCUCAAACAUCUUGUGUUAGGUAGGAUAACAUGGGCUACAAGUUGGAGAAAAUGUGACUGCAAUUGGUUUAAACAACAAAGGACCAGUGUUACUGGCUGAAGUGACAGAAAAGUUCAGAGACAUUUUAGACUCAAGUGAGCCUGCAUAGACAAGCUUGAGGUCUCACCAAAGAUCCAGCUUCUUUUCAUUUCUUCUCUCUGCAGAAGAGGUUUGUUGCAGUGCUUAUUAUAAUCAUAUAAAAUAGGAAACAACAUGUGUCCAACAAUAGAGAAACGGUGUGGCCCAGGGAAGCCAAAAGAUUGAACACUCCUGAUUUAGAAGAAACCGUUGGUCCUAGGGAAUGAGGAAGAGACAGAUUCUGGUUCCAAUAUCCUUCUUAUGGAAGAGUCAAAUGCCAGCUAUAUUAUCGUUGCCAUCAGCAAUAAAUAAUCUCAUCCAUUCA